rnacentral:tRNA from 1 species
CGGGGCGUAGUUCAGAUGGCUAGAAUGUACGCUUUGGGAGCGUAAGGUCGCGAGUUCGAGUCUCGCCGCCCCGACCC